ACCGCACCAUGUACGAAUUACCUUGGCACACGGAAAGUGUGAUUUAAUCUAGAGCUCGCAAAAAUCCGAGCAGGGUAGAGAAGGGCAGUGCUAAAGAACCAAGAAACAAGACCACGAGCCGAACAAAUUCCCAUUUGCUUGUGGCUGCAGCCGUCAAUUCGCCAGUGGUACGAGAAAGCAGGGCUGUAUUCGCUGUAGGGCCCACCGUACCCCUGAGGCCCUGCACGAAACACGUACCCGAGUGCGUGCGUGUGUGUUUGCAGAGAGCGGCAUCAUCAUCAUAGUUGCAGGCGGCUCGCGGAAACAUCCCAAUUUCCAUCGCCGAUUCCAUUCCGUGACGCGAUCCGUACGUGCGUGUGCGUGUUUGUUCCAUACCGUUUGUGUUGUAAAAAUGGUGUAAGCGUCUCGGAUUUUUUUUUCGUGCCAGUGUUGCAUUUCCGUUUAUUCCCAGUUUUUACGCAUCGGUUCACGGGAUAGACGGGGCUUGGAAGGUGCGGUGUGCGGUGCAGGAGUGUUCCCUAAUCCCUCGUGCUCGAUUGCUGCUUGACCGUGUGGCGGCAUGGGUUUGGUCGAGCGAAAGAAAAUGUCGGCGAAACAUCAUCCCAUUCAUUGACGGGCAAGUGUGUACGAGUGUGCGUGCGUGUGUGUAGACGUGCGUCAUUUCGUCGGGAAUCCAUUAAAUUUUUGGGUCCAGAAAAUCGAAACAGGGUUUAACAGCGAAACGCAGCGUAGAAUCCAGUGCCGAGAGUGUUUCCGUCCGUGAAUCUACGUGCGUGUGCUAAGUGGAGAUCUUCUUCUUUUUCUUCUACCUACGCCUGCCACCAACCCAUUCGACGUGCGUGCAGUGUAGUGGUGUGGUGUUGUGUUUUUGUUAUUGUUACAUCUCGCACAUUCUCCAUUCGAGACCCCAACAUGGAGCAGCGGUACGGCAGCUAGCGAAAAGAGUUGCUUCAUUGUUGGUCUAGUACUCGCAGAACGGUGUGUCGCUGUGUGAGUGUAUUUGUGUGUGUGUGUGUGUGGACCAGUGGAAACAGUCCGCUGGUGGUGGCAGCGUUGGCUUUGUGCAGCUCGGUUGGCCCUUUCGGUUUUGUGCAUUCGAGAUCCCGCGUGUCUCCCGCGACAACGUCGAUCGAGUCGUGUAAAUGGUGGUUGGCUAGUAAGCGCCUGGUGUGUGCUGGUGUGAGUGCUGUCCCCGUAGGGAGCAAGUGUGCUAAAAAGUAGCGAAAGAAGGGAAAGGAAAAAAACAACAACCACAUCGCAGCAUACCGUGGAAUGCAAAACGUCACGGCGGGCUAAAGGCAGCAACAGUGUCGUCCAACUUUACUUGAACCCCCUACUCUCUCCCUUCAUUUAAGGUAGCACAGAUUAGGGGUACAAAACGACAACCCGCCCACAAAUACACACAGCCCGACAACAGCAUUUUAAAUAUCCGCCGAUUGUGCGGCGUCCCGGUACACUACCUUGCGGCGGAGUGGAAGGAAAAGGGGCCCGGGGGAAAAAAAAACAGUGGCACUAUCGAUCGGGGGAAUAUCCCGAAAAGGAAGGUGUUCGAUUUUGCGACCACGCCAGCUGCUGCUGCUGCUGCAACGGGGGCUGAUAGUUACGUUAGACGGGAAAACCCCGUUGUGUCCGAUCGAAGUGACAGAACAAGGGCGUCCGGCCGACGGUAAGCAACGACGAUGAGUACCGCCAACAACAGCACCACAACCACGACCACGAGCGGUGGGAAUGAUGGAAACAACAGUGGCGGAGGAGGAGGUAACGGUGGAAGCAGCGGGAGCAGCAUCGAAGUCGAAUACAACGAAAUCGUAUCCCGGAGAGGUUGGCCGAUGGUAUUCCAGGAUAUUCGCGAGCGAAGCGACAUUCAGGCACGGGCGAAAAAGUUUUCCACCGACGAAUCGAAAAAGUUGGACAAUCGGCGACUGAAUCGAUACCGGGACGUGCUACCGUACGAUCAUUCCCGGGUAGCCCUGAAGCGUGGCGAAGGUGACUACAUUAACGCGAACCUGGUGAAGAUGGAACGGGCUGGACGGAAGUACAUUCUCUGCCAGGGACCGCUGCCGCUAACGGUGGGCCACUUUUGGGUGAUGGUGUGGGAGCACGAUUCGCGCGCCAUUCUAAUGCUGAACAAGCUGAUCGAACAAACGACCGUCAAGUGUCACCAGUACUGGCCGGCAAAGAUCGGCGAACAGCAUCGGCUCGAGCUGACCGAUGUGCAGCUCUCGGUGGUGCAUCUGAAGUGUGUGGAGUAUAAGAAUUUCUGCAAAAGAACGUUCAGACUGACGGACAUGGAGACGGGCAAAAGUCGUGAAGUGAUACAGUUUCACUACACGACUUGGCCGGACUUUGGCAUCCCCAGCUCGCCGGUAGCAUUCCUACAAUUUCUGAAGGAAGUGCGCGACUCCGGAACGCUCGAUCGUGACGUUGGCCCACCGAUAAUCCACUGCAGUGCUGGUAUCGGGCGUUCCGGAACGUUCUGCUUGGUGGACUGCUGUCUGGUGCUGGUCGAUAAGGAAGGAGAGGAUCGGGUAUCGGUCCAGGAUGUGCUGCUCGAGUUGCGACAGUACCGUAUGGGACUGAUUCAAACUCCGGAUCAACUGUACUUCUCGUACCAGGCCAUCAUCGAGGGCAUGAAGCGUAUGAAUAACUCCUCGUUCGAGGAGUUUGAAGAGCUGUCGGUGGUGUCCUCGUCCAGCCAGCAGAACAGCGAUCAGGAGGAUAACGAGGAUACGCCACCGCCACUACCGCCCCCUCGCACCCAUUCGCUCACGUCCAAACCGUUGCCGGUCAUACCGACGAGCGAGAGCGUGCACGAGGAGUUCCUGCUCGGCAGCAGUAACGGGGGCGACCGCGACAAGGUCAACAACCUGGUCAAUCUGGAAAAGAGCAAGCAAUUUGAGAUGGGUGACGAAAACCACCAUCAUCACAACAAUCACCAUCAUAAGCGAAAUGACAGCGGCAACAACCACCACAACAACCACCAUCACCAUCCGUACAGCAACCGGCCAUUGCCACCGAUCGUGCGGGACAGUUCGCUGUACAAGGUGAACGAGCUGGAUAGCGAUGGUGGUGGUGGUGGUGGUAACGACGGGGAUGGAAGCAGCGGCAGCGAUGGCAGCGAUUCCAACGCGAUGAGCAGCGAGGAUGAGCUGAUCGAGGAGAACGAUAGCGAUAUCGGGGAGGCGGAAGACGAUGAGGAAGACGAGCUGAAGAACCGCGGCGCCAUUGGCCGAGACGUUCCGUCCGAUAACAGUGAUAACAUUAAAAGCUCCCUGCUGGAUGAAAGCAGCAGCACGACAACGGGAACGACGACGACAACGACCACAUCCACGAGCGGCGGUGGCACUUCGACGGGCAUCUCCAGCUCGACCUCGGUAUCUACCAGCUCGUCCACCACGGCCAGUGCGAUCGGUUCGAACAGUUCGACGCUGGAGUCGAAGCGGGGUGGUGUGGACUCGAAAUCGAGCGAGCAGCAGGCGUUCAAUGCGAACUCGAGCCUACCACCGUUGCCGAACGGUGCGCUGGACGAUGGUGACGAUCCGAUCUCCAGCCCGGAGCGAGAAUUGUCGCCGAACGCCGAACUGCGGCGCCGCAAGCGCAUCGAGCGCAUGUCCGCGAUGGAGGAGAAGAUACGCGAGAUCAAGCGCAAGCGGAAAGAGGUGGAAAGCAAGGGAUCGCCGAAAAAGCGCAGGUUAUUACUGUUUUCCAUUGCAGCCGGUGUUUGUUUCAGCGUUCUGUGCGUAUAUCUUUACACCAAGCAGAUGUAAACUGCUGGCGCCUGAUUUGAUGCAGGCUUGAGACGAUGCAACAAUGAUGCUGUUGGUGAGAAUUGUAGCAGGGCACUAAAUCGGUGAGAGCUAAAAGCAACAGAAAAAAAAACAACAUUAAGCAGUGUACUAAUAGGCCAAGGAAAAAUCAUUCCUACAUGUCAGGCGGUGGCGGCAGCAGAACGAAUCAAAAUGUCUUACAAAGCUGAUAUCCAGCUCCUUCACAAAAAGAAACCGCAUUAAACGCGCGCGUAACUUUUGAUAGCAGCGUGGAUCGGUUCGAUUAUACAUACCGAUUAUACGUACGACGAUCAUCAUCCAUCCCACUCGUAUUCGGGGUACAUACAUGACGGUGAGAUAAUGUUAAAGUGGUGUGAUUUUGAACCGUUUAUUCCGAUGUUUCCCCAGGGGUGAAUUUGGACAAUUAUUUUGUCCUGCAAUCAUUUUUUUUAACUGAGGUUUACAUAGCAGCAGUUCUGGGAUGUGUUUGAUUAUUUUUCCUUCACUCUUCCACUACAUACGGGAACUGUGGAACGACCGCAAAAAAUCUAUAACGAAUAAUAACGCUUGCAAAACUACUGCAUUCCUUCGAGAAUGUCGCUCUGCGCGGAUCUUAUGAUCGAUCGAGUUUUGGGAGAUUUCGCACACCUUAUUUAUUCACACCCAUCGUCAAGUGGCGGUGAUAGCAGCAGCUUUGAUUAGUGAGACGCUGGCGCCGGCAAGCGGCAAGAAUCUCUUUUUUUUUUUUUGGAAAUGUGCCCCGCUGAGAGCCGUACGAUGGUUACUUUGCGACUUUUGCGAUUGUGAAACAAACAGGAAACAGGAACACAAUGGACAACAAUUGAUUGUAAAUGCCGAUAUCAGUUAAGUGUAGUGUUUUAGUAUGUUAUUUUUCUUCCCCCCGUUUAUCUCUUAGCCUAAUUUGCAUUCUGAACCGCUGGAUAUAUAUAUUAUUUCAUCGUUUAAUUCUGUAUCCCCCGUUUCCCAAUCACUAGUAACGUUCAAUCCAUUUUUUAAAGUGUUUAAGAGCAAGCAAAGAUUUCGAUCAGUUGGCACCUACAAAAGAGGACAAGAAAAAAAAACUUUGCGACUGUCGACAACGAUGAAACGAAUUUAUGAUAAGCAAUUAUUGUUCCCUGCAAUUAUCAUGCUUGAGUAAAUUAUGAUAGCAUUUCAUUCGUGCAUGAUUUCUACGCUAUUAGUGUGGGGCGCUGUGGAGGAUAUAGGAAGCACGGGAGCAGAGAGCCGUUGUUUAGAACUUAUUUUUAUACGAUAGUGUUUGUGGGGGUGGGGGGGGGGAGACGGGGGAGGACAGGUGGUGAAGUGACGGGACGGAAGGAGUGUUCAACUUUUGUCCUAUCGUCGUGUCGAUGUUUCUUGGUAGAGCUGAAUGCAUGCAAGGCAGAGGAAGUGCCAGUGUUGCAUUUGCGUUGCACACUAAUAUUUAAAGCAAGUGAGAAGAACGUGAAGCGAGUGAAGUGGACAAUUUUACAUCUUAAAGGACAUCGAUCUAACGAUUGCAAUGUCCUUCCCAUGUGCUGGGAAGGAUUUGCGUUUUGUUUAAUUUUAUCUAGUUGCAAACAUAAAUAUGCUUUCCUGCCUUUGCAGGAGGAAGAGCACGAAUUCUGCAUUGUUUUAUGUCUUCGUUUUAUUUGCACUGAAUUAAUUGUUCAGCAAAUUACAGGGUUGCUCAGUGCCAGUUCAGCAUCGUACCACUAUAGUCCUGAUUAUCAAACACAAACGUCUUCUCAAACGUCGGUAAACUGUUUGGUUUGGUAUUAUGGCUAUCCGUUGGGCUUAAUCAAACGUUUACAAAUCGGUGCCAGAUGCUUCUCAAACGGAAAGUAAAAAAUCGCAUCACCCAUACCAAACAUACGUUAGAAAAUUUUUUGCUCCGUCAGCCGUGUUCAACGGAAAGUAAAAUUUUCUUCCGUUAAAAUUAUUUUUGGUUCGAUAUCAAAGGAAAAAAAAUAAUUUUGAAUAUUUUAAAUUAGUUAUCACAGCAACUGCUAAUUUUUAGCUAAUUUUUUUUAAUUUAUUUUAAUUGAGUAAUCUACAGGAGCCAGUCAAAAGCAAGAGAGCUACAACAGCACAGUUCAAAACAAAGUUUUUUUUUUAAUUUAACAAUUACAAAGUAUGCCAUUGCUUCGACUCACGAGCUGCCUGCUUCGAGUUGCAUGCCCUUACCAUCGAAUGCGCGACAUAACGACCGAAUCACAUGCCGUUACCAUGGAAUCAUGGGCCGAUUUACAUGGAUUUUUGAAUGCUCCUGUAUGAAGCAUUUGAUGUAAUGAAUAGCCCGGUUAGGCUGUCACCAUUAGAAAACAUUUUGCUGGCAUUUUUAUACGAAUAAACGGCUAAUAAACCAUAAAUGGCAAGAAAAUGUGUCGUACAAUACCAACAUCAAACAGUAGCGAUAAACGAAGCGAGACUAGCUUUUCUAGCUAGAGUUUAUUGGUGAUCUAUACAUUAAACAGGCGGAAAUGAACGUGUUCGGAUGGCAAAGAAAACUUGGAAAAGUCUUGAAGCAAUUUGUUUACAUUUUUCUUUUACAAUUUGUGAAUUUUUCGUUGAAUUCUUGGAAAUAGUUGGUACGUUCAUUUUUGCUUUGACACAAUAUGUAAAACACGCGUAAAAUAAUUUAAAAUAAUGCUUUCCAUUGCGUUUAGUCGUUAAAAUUAUCCUGUUAAAAUUAUCCGUAAGUUCUUCGAGAGAAGAAGCGAAUUUGAAAUGUUAUAACAUUCACAAAUCCAUGGAUACCGGCACGUGAUUCCAUAGAAACGGCUUGCGAUUCGACCAUAGGGUCACUCUUUCGAUGGUAAUGGCUCGAAGCAGGCAGCUCGUGAGUCGAAGCAAACGGUGAGCGAUUCGAAUGUAACUGUAAACAGGUGUAAUACAAAUUUUGCUUUCCGUUUGGUUAGAUGCUUUCCGUCGGAAGGUUUUCCAUUUGCAUUUGACCAUCAGGACUCUUAUAUGUCAACAGCAUAAAACGUUUAUCCAACGUUUAUCAGUUGGGAUUUUACGGAGUUUGAAAGUCUGUUUUUCGAUGUUGAAAAGAGCUAACAAGGUUGUACGGCAUAUACGGUGUUGAAUUAGCGUUUGAUACUGUUGAUACGUGAUACUGUUACAAUGUGGAACUCGUCUGGAAAACCCUGUAAGAGGAAUGUUUUGUGAAUGUAAUCAUUCUUUCACCAUUUUAUCACCCCCCCGAGCGAAUGUUUUUUUCCCCCCAUCUGCACACGUGCAAAGUUUUUGGAACCUUAAACUAGUGGAAAAGGCACACAUACACACACACAUACACGUUUGUGACACGACAGAGUAUAACAAAAAGCAGCUGUGAGCAAACAGAUUCAGAGAAAGGGAGAGAGAGAGAGAGUUAAGAAAGAUCGAGUAUACAUAUAAAUAUAUACAUACAUUAUUAUAUAUGUAUAUCGUCCACGGUUUUUUGCUAGAUAAUAUUGUAUUGAAUAGUUUAUUUUUUAUCCCAUAUUUCCUUUUCUAACAAAACCGAAAACCAACUUCCCCAACCCAACCUUCCCCCUUAUCUUUUUUAUCAAUAGUGGUAUGAAAAUUGUAGAAAUGUUUUAUAAAACCACAGCCACACCUAAACACACACACACACGCAGAAGAAGAAGAUGGUAAAGGCGAGGGCACGAUAAUGAUGAAAUGAGGCAACAUAUUUAGAAUUGUGAACAAACGAGCCAGAAGUAUGCAGAAUGACUAGUAACACAGUAAUAUGGAGGUGUAGUAAAAGAAAAAGCGAAAUAGAGCGCAAGACAAGAGAGAGAGAGAGAGAGAGAGAGAGAGAGAGACAGGGCGAACGGAGAAGAGAACACAUACUAGGCGCAGUAUACCGCAGUAGAGAUACGUGUCUAAUAUUUUUGUUUAAUCUAGUUAAAAUUGUAUAAAAAAAAACUUAUAUGGUGUAAUGAUGGUGGUUUGUGUUGGUUUGUGUUGCUGCAUAGCUGUGUGUUUGUGUGCGUUUGGGAGAAAGAAAGCUGUAUUGUUUUUGGACUGGUUUUUCCCCCCCCGAUUUUAACGAUUUUUACUGACCACUAUUACCACCAGUUGUGUUUUUUUAACUUUGGAUUUUUGUAUCAAGAAAAGGAACAGUGCGCGUGUGUGCGUGUGUGUGCCAUUAUUAGCGAAAAAGCAGGAAAGUGCUUAGGAUAACCCCCAGCACAGCAAACGAGUUCCGGGGAAGAAAGUAAGAAAAAAGUCAACCGGUCGAAUUAAGCGAAAUAUGCGUAGCGAAAGAAGCAAGUUGUUUAGCGUUGGUUGGUUGUGUGUUAGGUGUAACGAAUCGUCUGCCUUUCUGCCCUGCGAAUGCGUUUGUAUCUGAAUAAUUUGCCGGUCCGCUGGUCUUAUCUUUUGAGCGCAACUGGCUGCUGUGUGCAUCCUACAACCAUUAUGGGGUUAGUUCAGCCGCCCGGCGUGACACAGGAAGGCACUGUGCGACGGGAACCUUAAUAGAACCGCGGGACCUCUCUCGUGGUGAAACUGCUACGG